AGUCAAACCUUUGUACCCUUGCACCAUUCAGUAGUCAGUGAGGGAGGGGAUAUAAGGGAUAUAACCUUAGGUUAGGCAGUUCUCUUUGAGGAAAGCUUUUGGUCGCGGGGGUUUUCAACUGUGAGCCAUCGGGAGGCUAAGUCUUAGCAGCUAAGAGGAAUGAGUUCUUUGAUCCUGAAUAUAGAGGCAAAAUAUUGCUUCAGUAUACUGAUUCUAAGCAGGUAGAUGGCUGACCACAAAGAGAUACUUGGAGGAAGUGUGAGCCUAAUAGACCAUUCUAACUUCCAGGUAUAUCUUUGUCAGCAGCAUGAAAAUGGACUAAUACAGUCACAAACACAUAGAACUUAGCAAUUGAUGAAACUUACACAUACAGAAUAUCACUCGUUUGCCUGAGGAAAAUUCACAUCUUAAUUACUUUGAGGAAAUCUCCAAGUGCACUGACAUUAUCAAUAGGUUCUUUUACCAUGUGAUGCCUUCUGCCAUGCGAGAAAGCCCUCACCAGAUGCAAUCCCUCAGUCUUGAAUUUUCCAGCCUCCAGAAUCAUGAGACAAAUUUAUAUUAUUUAUAAAUUACCCAGUCUGUGGUAUUCUGUUAUGGCAACAGAAAACAGACUAAGACACCAAUCUAUUGAAGCCUAAUAAAGUAAAAACUUCUGUAUUGAAAAUAAAAUAUCUUGGGGGGAGUUUGUUUAAUAAAAAUGGAGCUAUAAUUAUUGUUGUAGCUAUAAAUUAUUACCAAGAGUCCUCUAGCUAAUUUGAAGGCUUUAAUGUGUCUAUAGUUAGAAAUGAGAAAUUUACUGCAAUAAACUACGUAGUAUCUGUUGCUCUUUGAAAACAAAGAAAUCUGUUGUAUGGCAGCCGUAUAGCCCUGGAGCAUCCUGAUGAACUGUAAACAAUCCAGGCUCUACUGUGUGUGGGGUAAAAAAAAAAAAAAAAAAAUUAGCUGAUGUUUAAUAUAGAAUUGUAUUCUAGCCGUGUAACCAAAGGCUUUAAAAGCACCUUUUCCUUCUCUUUCAGAGGCUGGUAUUAAUAAAAUUACUUGGUAAUUUGGCAGUUGUAAAUUGUGACCCUCUGUCAGUGGCUAGGUCACAGAUGUCUCCCUCCUUUCCUUUUUAAACACUGAUGGGUUCAACACAGUAAACAUUGACUUCAUAAAUAAGCAGAGUCAGAGUACUAGGUUCUAGUCACUUCCAUAAUGGAAAGUAAGCAGAGCAAUUUAAUAGUGGGUGUGGGAAGUGGAAGGAGGGGGAACCAGGAUCAUAGUCAAGCAAAUAAUGGAAUGAAUACCCUAUUUAAGUAUGCCAGACAUACUCGUGUAAAAGAAGCUUGUGGGUCACCAGAUACUACAGGAAUGGCAUGCUGGGUUGAUCCCAUAAUUAAGGGAGAAGACAUAAGUCAGGAGCAUCUCAGACCAAAUGUCUUGCGCUACUAUACACUAUAAUUAUUACUCUUAUGAGUCUUACUUCAAUAGGCACUUUGCACUGAUGAUAUGAAAUGCCUUCUCCUUUCAGUAUCAAAAGUUAAAGAGUAAAGUGUAUGGAAGAUUGGAGAGUCAGCUAAUA
rnacentral:lncRNA from 1 species